rnacentral:rRNA from 1 species
CACGUAGGGCGCGAGCGUUGUCCGGAAUUAUUGGGCGUAAAGAGCUCGUAGGCGGCUUGUCGCGUCGUCCGUGAAAACCUGCAGCUCAACUGCAGGCUUGCGGUCGAUACGGGCAGGCUAGAGUUCGGUAGGGGAGACUGGAAUUCCUGGUGUAGCGGUGAAAUGCGCAGAUAUCAGGAGGAACACCGGUGGCGAAGGCGGGUCUCUGGGCCGAUACUGACGCUGAGGAGCGAAAGCGUGGGGAGCGAACAGG